rnacentral:piRNA from 1 species
UAUUAAGCAGGGCAGCCCAGGUGUUG